rnacentral:rRNA from 1 species
AUCAAUACAACUUUCAACAACGGAUCUCUUGGCUCUCGCAUCGAUGAAGAACGCAGCGAAAUGCGAUAAGUAAUGUGAAUUGCAGAAUUCAGUGAAUCAUCGAAUCUUUGAACGCACCUUGCGCUCCUUGGUAUUCCGAGGAGCAUGCCUGUUUGAGUGUCAUUAAAUUCUCAACCUCACCCAUUUUGUC